GGGUUGUGAGGUUAAGCGACUAAGCGUACACGGUGGAUGCCCUGGCAGUCAGAGGCGAUGAAGGACGUGCUAAUCUGCGAUAAGCGUCGGUAAGGUGAUAUGAACCGUUAUAACCGGCGAUUUCCGAAUGGGGAAACCCAGUGUGAUUCGUCACACUAUCGUUAACUGAAUACAUAGGUUAACGAAGCGAACCGGGGGAACUGAAACAUCUAAG
rnacentral:rRNA from 2 species